ACGUGCCCAGUCGUGGGGGAUAACUACGCGAAAGCGUAGCUAAUACCGCAUACGAUCUAUGGAUGAAAGCGGGGGAUCGCAAGACCUCGCGCGAUUGGAGCGGCCGAUGGCAGAUUAGGUAGUUGGUGGGGUAAAGGCUCACCAAGCCGACGAUCUGUAGCUGGUCUGAGAGGACGACCAGCCACACUGGGACUGAGACACGGCCCAGACUCCUACGGGAGGCAGCAGUGGGGAAUUUUGGACAAUGGGCGCAAGCCUGAUCCAGCCAUGCCGCGUGCAGGAUGAAGGCCUUCGGGUUGUAAACUGCUUUUGUACGGAACGAAAAGUCUCUUUCUAAUAGAGAGGGAUCAUGACGGUACCGUAAGAAUAAGCACCGGCUAACUACNUGCCANCAGCCGCGGUAAUACGUAGGGUGCAAGCGUUAAUCGGAAUUACUGGGCGUAAAGCGUGCGCAGGCGGUGAUGUAAGACAGUUGUGAAAUCCCCGGGCUCAACCUGGGAACUGCAUCUGUGACUGCAUCGCUGGAGUGCGGCAGAGGGGGAUGGAAUUCCGCGUGUA
rnacentral:rRNA from 1 species